UCCGGUGGUGGCGUGCUGCACUUGGCUCCCACGGUGCUGCCGGCAAUGGCCAGCCUUCCGCAUAUGUGGUGGCUGCCGGCGGCGCUACGGUCCGCGGCAUGGUGGUGGCGAUCUAGAUCCGAUCGGUCGGAUGGUGGUGACUGCAAAAUGCAGGGACUUUCUAUAGCUCCACGACGACGGUGAUCAACGAAAGAUUUUGGGGGGUUCAUCCCGCUUGAUCCGGUUGUUGAUUUCGGCGGUGAGAUACAAAUUAUGGACGAUGAUUUGACGCAGAGGGAUGGUUGUACAGUGGCGGCGGUCGAAUCGCAUGUAGCCACUGAGAUUGCGGAAAAGUGGUGGCGACAACACAUGACUGACUUCGAUGGUGGUGCUACUCGAGCACCUGGUCUUGAGCUUCGGGGCGAAAUCCUAUGUCAGCCGAGAGUGGUUAUGCCUGGCAAUGGUGAUGUUUUUUUACGUCGUUACCUUGUUGAAGGCAUUGCUCGAAUAUGCUCAGACUGCUUCUUCAGGGUGAAAACCUAGAUUCUGACUUUAUGAUUGGAUCCGGUGACGACGACACUUGAGUGUCCCUCCCUUUCUGAAGGCGUUGUUGUUGAAGAACCUCGUCGUCCAUGUGAUGUCAUGAGAUAGUUGGUGCCGAUAUGGUUAUUGUUGUAGUUUGUCGAUCGCACAUCAGAUCGCUUUGGGAUUUUUUUUCUCGCCUACGCAUAGCUUUGGUCUUAUAUGACUUUGCUAGUUGUGGACGUGUUUUUUACGUGCGUGUGUGGUGUUGGCUGUGUGCAUCCUAGCUAUGCAAAGGCCGGGUGUAUGCUCACUGUGUUAUAUAUCUUCUUGAUGCUUCAUUUUGAGUCAAUAAAAUUCACCCUUUAUCAAAAAAACAUUGGCACAGCGUCUUUCCGUGCAGCCGGGCAUCAGUGCUGCUUCCUUGGUGACGACUGACGUGCCAUUGCUGCCGCGCUCUGCCUCCACGCUUCGUCGCGGCGAUUCUCACCGGGAGGUAUGCACACAUAUAUUUCAUCCCCAAGAUUGCAUAUGUGAUUUGCUUAUUUGAUCAACUUCGGUCUGCAGGAGUUUAAGCACCUCUUUUUAGAGAUGGAUAGGCUAAUCAAUAGCUUUAUAAUUGUAUAAUCAGUAAGAACGGUUACUUGAAAAGGCUUAGGCAGUCUGCUCUAACAAGGAAGUGCAAAACUGAUUUCGCAAAAGAAGUAGAGGCGAUGGCCAG
rnacentral:lncRNA from 1 species